CCGGGGCUGGCCCUGGCCCCGCCCACCCGCGGGAGAAAUAAGGCUCCUCCCACCAUCCAGGAAGAGGGCGGCCCGGCCAAAGAGAUGCUGAGCUCAGCAUUUUGGACCCCAGCGGCUCGGUGGGGGCAGGGCGCGGGGUUGGCGCCUUUCUGGAAUCGCUUAAUCCUGAAAGUCUUGUCAGAAGACAUGGCGAGAAACGGAGUAAUGCCCACACCACUAUGGCGGAGAAAGGAAGAGAGGAAGAAGCCUAAUUCGGUUUGUAAUCCUUCAUUCAUCUCUCUGUGUGGUUGUCCAGUGCCUGACUUGCCCACUAAACGGCGAGCUGUAGGAGGCCAGCGUCUGUAUCUGUUUUGUCCUGGGUCUUCUGGUGCCCUGCACAAAAAGCCUAGUCCACAGUUUCCAGUGAUAAUAGUUGAAGGAAAAAAAAAAA